UAUGUUUUGUUGCUGCAAUUUUAAUCAUAAUAAAUGUAUCGCUCCAUCAAGUUGUAUCUAGAAUUUACUCUCUUGGUAAAUUGAUGUAUGUAAAAAACAUACAACAUGCUUGACGAAAAAAUAUAAUUGCAGAACAAUCUCAAAAGCGAACUUAAUAAACAUCAGGUGCGCCAGUACAUACUGAACUUGAACUAAAACAUCUUGCGCUACUAAGUUUAGCCCAUCAACUGCAUGAAUGGGAGUGAAACAGGCUUAGCGGUAGAGGGAGCCACCCUUAAUUACUUCAUUACAUAGUAGUACACUAACACAUAGAUCCCUGGCACAUGCGGACGCAACCACGACCAUGAGGACGAGAACUGUAAGCAUGAUGUUGACAGCUCCAAGAAGAAAGUUGACGCCUACAAGGCCUGAGACCCAGGGCCAGCUCUGGCUGCGGCCGUGGGCGGGACUUGCUGGACCAGAUUGUUGACCAGCUCUGGUUGGCUUGAGGCUGGAUCUACGGCUAUGCAUGCGGCUGGUUCGCAACAGGCACCAUCUACGUGCCCACAUUAGCAUGGUGGACACAAAACAUCUGGCCUCCAGGGUGCAUCCCAGCUUGGUGAUGCGCGACAGCUAUCUGCAUUGGGGUCAUCCUCCUCCAGUAAGCUCGCUGAAACUCGAAGAAACGACACUGGCGAGACUAAAAAAAUUUAGAAAAAAACAAAAGGCAAAUGAAAAACAUGUCAGUCAGAUCUGAGUUUUUCCAAGGAAGAAUUUGAGGCCGAUAAAAAGAACAAUAUCUGAUUGCAUCCACUUACAUCAUAUCGAAUGCACUUGUAGAAGCGGUUACCAGCCUGAGAUCUAGACCUCGCCACAUUGGUCUUGAUAUCAUCGUCGCACAGUGGUCACCUCAUCAGCGGCAGCAGCCAGUCAGACAAGAUUGGGAUGGAGUUCGAAGAUGAAGCAGACAUGGCGAAUCAGCCGGAGAUGGAGAUAUGGAAUGGCUCAGCAAUACGAGGUGUGGUUUCCGGUCUAAGGCUAUGAAUGGGUGGGGAUGGGCUGAUGGUUGUUGUUAG
rnacentral:lncRNA from 1 species